rnacentral:rRNA from 1 species
CAGUAGCCGCGGUAAUACGAGGGGGGCAAGCGUUGUUCGGAAUUAUUGGGCGUAAAGGGCGCGUAGGCGGUUUGGCAAGUUUGGUGUGAAAUCUUCGGGCUCAACUCGAAGUCUGCACCGAAAACUGCCGGGCUUGAGUAUGGGAGAGGUGAGUGGAAUUUCCGGUGUAGCGGUGAAAUGCGUAGAUAUCGGAAGGAACACCUGUGGCGAAAGCGGCUCACUGGACCAUUACUGACGCUGAGGCGCGAAAGCUAGGGGAGCAAACAGGAUUAGAUACCCGUGUAGUCCCUGUCUCUUAUAC